rnacentral:rRNA from 1 species
GACGAAGGGGGCAAGCGUUAUCCGGAUUUACUGGGUUUAAAGGGUGCGUAGGCGGAUCUUUAAGUCAGUGGUGAAAUCCUCCCGCUUAACGGGAGAACUGCCAUUGAUACUAUUGAUCUUGAAUUCAGUUGAGGUGGGCGGAAUGUGUCGUGUAGCGGUGAAAUGCUUAGAUAUGACACAGAACACCGAUUGCGAAGGCAGCUCGCUAAACUGUGAUUGACGCUGAGGCACGAAAGCGUGGGGAUCAAACAGG